UCAAGCUACAAAGGGUUUAUAGUGAAUGACUUGGCAGACUCAGGCGAUGAAGGACGCGACAAGCUGCGAAAAGCUCCGGUGAGCUGCAAAUAAGCUUUGACCCGGAGAUCUCCGAAUGGGACAACCCAAUCAGGGUCAUACCUGAUUAUCAUUUACUGAAUACAUAGGUAAAUGAAGCGAUACCAGGGGAAUUGAAACAUCUAAGUACCCUGUGGAAAAGAAAACGAAAGUGAUUCUCUCAGUAGCGGCGAGCGAAGAGAGAAGAGGCUAAACCGACGAGCUUGCUCGUCGGGGUUGCGGGACCUUAACGUGGGAUUACAAAGGAAUAGCAAAAGUCAGCUGAAAAGCUGCACCAUAGCGAGUGAUAGUCUCGUAUGCGAAAUUCCAAUGUACCCUAGAGGGAUCCCAAGUACUGCCGGGCACGGGAAAUCUGGCAGGAAUCUGGGCCGACCAUGGUCUAAGCCUAAAUACUAGAGUCUGACCGAAAGUGAACUAGUACCGUGAGGGAAAGUUGAAAAGAACCCCGGAAGGGGAGUGAAAUAGAACUUGAAACUAUAAACCUACAAGCGGUUGGAGGCCUAUGCAUAUCCUCGCAAGGGGGUAUGAAUGGCUGACAGCGUACCUUUUGCAUAAUGGACCAACGAGUUAUUGAAUGCUGCAAGCUUAAGUUCUUAUGGAACGAAGGCGCAGGGAAACCGAGUCUGAAUAGGGCGACCAAUCAGUAGCAUUUAAUAGACCCGAAACCACGUGAUCUACCCAUGGCCAGGUUGAAGCUUUAAGAAAUUAAAGUGGAGGACCGAACGCAUUAUCGUUGAAAAGAUUCGCGAUGAGCUGUGGGUCGGAGUGAAAGGCUAAUCAAACGUGGCAAUUGCUGGUUCUCCCCGAAAUAGUUCUAGGACUAGCCUCGGACAAUAGUUAGCAGGGGUAGAGUUACUGAAUAGGCUAGGGUCCCUACCGGGAUGCCAAACCUAACCAAACUCCGAAUACUGCUAACCGUACUCUGGGAGUCAGAACGUGAGGGCUAAGCUUCACGCUCGAGAGGGAAACAGCCCAGACCGUCGGCUAAGGUCCCUAAUAUACGCUAAGUGGUAAAGGAAGUGGAGUCACACAGACAGCCAGGAUGUUGGCUUAGAGGCAGCCAUCAUUUAAAGAGUGCGUAACAGCUCACUGGUCGAGUGAUUCUGCGCCGAAAAUGAUCGGGGCUCAAGCGUAUAACCGAAACCACGGCUUUAACACGUCUUCGGACGGGUUAAGGGGUAGGGGAGCGUACUGUCCAACGAUGAAGGCGUACCGUAAGGAGCGCUGGAGAAGACAGUAGUGAUAAUGUUGGUAUGAGUAGCGAAAACUAAGGCGAGAAACCUUAGCGCUGACAAUCUAAGGUUUCCUGGGGAAGGUUAAUCCACCCAGGUUUAGUCGAUCCUAAGGCGAGGCCGAAAGGCGUAGUCGAUGGAGGUCCGGUUAAUAUUCCGGAACCGUCUAUGAAGCGUUAUAACCUUGAUGUGACGCAGGAGGCUAAGUGAUGCGCAGUGUUGGAUGUCUGCGUUGACAUUCGUAGCCCCCGUGAAAACGGGGGUAAGGAAUGAAGGGAGCGGCGACCACGGUCAAAGCGAAGUCACUAAUGCCAUGCUGCCGAGAAAAACCAUCGUAGGAAGUUUCAUAGUCGAUCGUACCGUAAUCCGACACAGGUAGAUGCCCAGAAUAUGGGAAGGCGCUCGAGAGAAAUCUCUUUAAGGAACUAGGCAAAAUAGCCCCGUAACUUCGGGAGAAGGGGUGCCCAUGGGGUGAAGUCCAUCACGGACGGAGCUUUUAUGGGUCACAGUAAAGAGACCCGGGUGACUGUUUAGUAAAAACACAUCACUCUGCGAAGUCGCAAGACAAUGUAUAGGGUGUGACACCUGCCCGGUGCUGGAAGGUCAAGAGGAGAGGUCAACCCGCCGCAAGGCGAGGUGAAGCUUCGAAUUUAAGCCCCAGUAAACGGCGGCCGUAACUAUAACUGUCCUAAGGUUAAAGGAAAACGCUAGCCUUAGUAAAAUUGGGCUAUAUGCUGGAAACUCCCAGUAUCCGACGGUACCAAGCAAUUGGUGAAAAUCUGAUCGGUGGGGACAAUCAGCAGGAAAGAUUAGUAAUUUAUUUACUGACUAAAAUCCUCAGAGACCAUACGCCCAACACUAAUUUAAAUUAGUGAAGAUAUGGUCCGAACUGUAUGGCGACAUACAGAGCUCAGCAGAAAUGUUGAGACGCCUUGAAUAUCUUAAUCAAGGUUGUAACAGAAUGAGCGAAAUUCCUUGUGGGGUAAGUUCCCACGCGCACGAAUGGUGUAACAACUUGGGUGCUGUCUCAAAGAGAUACUCGGUGAAAUUGUAGUGGCGGUGAAGAUGCCGUCUACCCGCACCAAGACGAAAAGACCCCGGAACCUUUACUGUAGCUUGGUAUUGGAUUUGGAUUCUGUUUGUGUAGCAUAGGUGGGAGCCUUUGAAGUUCCAGCGCUAGCUGGGAUGGAGGCAUUAGUGAAAUACCACCCUAAUAGUUUUUAGAUUCUAAUCAUAGCCUCUGAAUCGAGGCAUGUGACAGUGCCAGGCGGGCAGUUUGACUGGGGCGGUUCCCUUCUAAAAUGUAACGAAGGGGUCCAAAGGUUUCCUCAGGCCGGUCGGCAAUCGGCUGUAGAGUGCAAGUGCAUAAGGAAGCUUAACUGUGAGUCCGACAGGACGAACAGAUACGAAAGUAGGGACUAGUGAUCCGGUGGUUGAAUGUGGGAUUGCCAUCGCUCAACGAACAAUAGGUACUCCGGGGAUAACAGGCUGAUCGCGCUCGAGAGUUCAUAUCGACAGCGCGGAUUGGCACCUCGAUGUCGGCUCAUCCUAUCCUGGGGCUGUACAAGGUCCCAAGGGUCCGGCUGUUCGCCGGUUAAAAGGGUACGUGAGCUGGGUUUAGAACGUCGUGAGACAGUUCGGUCUCUAUCUGGUGUGGGCGCACGAUGAUUGAAGAGAAGCUCUCCUUAGUACGAGAGGACCGGGAGAGACGAACCUCUAGUGUUCCAGUUAUCCUGCCAAGGGUAAUGGCUGGGUAGCUAAGUUCGGACGGGAUAAACGCUGAAUGCAUAUAAGUGUGAAGCCCUCCUCAAGAUAAGUCAUCGAUUCCCUUCGGGGAUGAAGGCUCCUCGUAGACUACGAGGUUGAUAGGCUGCAGGUGUAAGAUCCGUAAGGAUUUAAGCUAAGCAGUACUAAUUGCCGAACGCUUGAUCAC
rnacentral:rRNA from 1 species